AGUCUCCCUCGCCUCUCCCGCGUGGCUUGGGGACCAGAGUAGGACUGGGAGUAGGACCUACAUUCAUCUGGACACCAGAAUGUCACUCUCCUCGCCAUCUGUUCCCUGCAGUAACUUAAUCCCGUGCGUCCUGCUCUGCGCUCCGCCACUGUUGGCAUCACCUUGAAAACAACCUUAUGGCGUGUUCUUCAAAUGAAUGGCAGGCAUGGGGACCCUGGGAGGUGAUCUAAACUCAUCCAGGCGCUGGAGUGUCACUCUCCUGAUCUCCUGAGAACCUCUUCUCAUCAAAUUCUAGAGGACCAGAGUCUGCAGUGGGUGUUUCACUGUGCUGAAGUCAAGGUGCUGUUCUGGAAACUCUAGUAAAGAGCUCUAGCCCCUUUUCAGUUCCUAGAGGCCUAUGGAUGGCACUCCUGGGUCAUGCCUCUCCUCUAUCUCCAGAGCCACCAUCUCUUUCUCCUUCUGCAUGUCUGUGACUGAGGUCUCCAUCACCACUCCUGCUCUGACUCCUUCAGGAGAGCCCUGGUGACUGCAUUUGAACCAGUUGGACAAUCCAAGUGGGUCCUUGGUCACACUCAGAGAUUCUUAGUGGUUUUCCAGGGAGGUGGCAAUAGUCAUAGGUUCCUGGGGACAGAGAGUAGAUAUUUGGAAACCCAUCGUUAUACCUAAUACCUACGUCAGGGAGAAAGGAAAAGGGGUGUGAGCAUGGAUUGACCUUCUCUUGCCUUGGAAAAUACUAGGUGAUCUAAGAGUUUCUGCUUUUUUUUUUUUUUUUUUUUUUUUUUU